GGUGUUCUGACAAGGACACACACCAUCACUGUUAUUUGCCAAACAAUUCUCUUGAUUCACUAAAGUCAAGCAUGCCAGCAUUUCUUUAUAAAAAGAAAACAAGGCUGUUUUUCAUAGCCACCCAGAGGAGAGGUCAUCACUAAAUUGCAUUUCUGAAUUACUUUUCAUUUCACAUCAAUACAGUAAAAAGGUUUCUAUUAUUCCUCUCCCUCACGUCCGCCUUCCCUCUGCACCCCUCCAAGAUGCCCCCAGCUGGCCCUGCCCAGAAUCCUCGUGGCAUGUAAGCGGGAAAUGUUAUGUGAUGUUCUAGAGAGAAGAGUCUUUGAACCAAGAACCCAGACUCAGCAUCACUGGGGAAGCAGAGACCGACUGUGGAGAGAUGAGCUUAAGGUUCCUUCUUUCUCUGGCUACAGGCUCCUCCAAGGAGGCCGGAACCUCAACUGUCCCACCCACCUGUGUGCUUGGGGCAAAAGGAAGAAAAGGUCCCAGCCGUCCCAGCCUCACUGCACAAAAUUACGGUAGAAAUUCACAUCUAGAGAAAAACUCUAUGAUAUCAGAACCUGAGAAACUGGGACUCAAACAUUUUACUCCCAAGUCACAACAUUAAUUUGGAAGAUUUACUUAAACUCGUUAUUCCUGAUGUUUCUCUCUCUGUUGUAUCUUGCAGCUGUGUGUCGUUGGGCACAUUCAUUUCUUGACCCCUCCCAACCUGAGGGUCAUCACUCACUAAUAAAAUGAGGAUUAUAAUAGCA